CUUUAGAAUAUAAUGACUCCAAUGCCUUUCAAAAGCCAAGGAAAACUAAGGAGAUGGAAGAGUACAACUCCAUUUAAAGCAAGUGAAGCCGGCUUCCAAGUCGUAGAGGAAUCCUCCUGGUCUUUAUCUCUACUAUCCUUGGAUGUUAAUCUCCCAUUAUGUUGCUUUAUAUUCCACAAUCAAGGCCACACCUGCUGGUGCUCAGGGCUUACUCCUGGAUCUACACACAGGCAACACUCAUGUCAGGGCUGAGGGAAACAGAAGAUGCUGAAGAUUGAACCUAGGUCAGCUGCAUACAGGACAAGACUUAAAACAAUUUUAAAAACUUAAAAUCAAUUUAGCUCUUCAGUCACAGAGCUAAAAUGAUUUUUAAUGAAUUGAUGUUUUUAAAAUAAAGC